UACAUACACAAUAAGCCCUAACCCCACAAGCACCUUAUAACAUCAUCAACUACAACUGCUUUAGAGAAAUAAACACAAGUAAAGGUUAAAGAUAAGUAUUUUAAGCACAAGUAAAGGUUAAAGAUAAGUAUUUUAAGCAUAAUUUCUCUGUCUUAGAUAUAAUUCUUCCAAGGACUCUGUUUUCUCUUUUAAAAACUUGUCAAGAAAACAUCUUUGAGUCUGCUUUCAUGAGUAUUUUGAUUACAUCUCCAACAAGUGAGAAAAAAUAAAAUUAAUAAGGGACAAGAAAAGGAACCACUCCAGAAAGUCUUGGAAACCUAAAAAGGAAAGCUGAAACUUGAAAGCUAU
rnacentral:lncRNA from 1 species